CGGGAAGAGCUCAAAUUUAAAAUCUGGCAAUCGUUGGUUGUCCGAAUUGUAGUCUAGAGAAGCGUCUUCCGCGCUGGACCGUGCACAAGUCUCCUGGAAUGGAGCGUCAUAGAGGGUGAGAAUCCCGUCUUUGGCACGGACUCCCGGUGCUUUGCGAUGCGCUCUC
rnacentral:rRNA from 1 species